UGUUCUGUGGCUUAGUUGGCUAAAGCGCUGGACUCGUGAUACAGAGUCAUGGGUUCGAACCCCACCAAAACAA
rnacentral:tRNA from 1 species